CCAGGUUGGCGACGCGUAUUCUUGGGGAAUUAACACACAUACGCGCUGUUAUUGCUUGAGAAUACACGUAGUUUGCCUGGUCG
rnacentral:pre_miRNA from 2 species